ACCCCACAAGGCAGCAUGACACCUUGGCUGGGGGAGGCUGGGCUGAGAGUCUGGGUAGCUUUGUCUUCCUGGCUGGUGGGUCGAAGGCCAGGGCCACAGCAGUGGGUGAGAGGGAAGAGCUGAAGUCGGCUGAGGGGGCAGUCCAGUAGGCUCUGGGCAAACAGGUCAGCAGAGAGCAAGCUCCCGGGUUGGGUCACCGGCUCCCCAUCCUCUGGUUGGAACACAUCAUCCUCCAGCUCCUCCACACACUGAGAUGGCUCCAUCUCUCCUGUGAGGGGGCAACGCAGGCAUCUGGGCUGCUGCCCCACCAGGGCCAUACCUGGAAGGACUCCCCUUCCCUUC
rnacentral:lncRNA from 1 species